UACGGAGGGUGCGAGCGUUGUCCGGAAUCACUGGGCGUAAAGGGCGCGUAGGCGGCAUGCCAAGCGUGUGGUGAAAGCCCGGGGCUCAACCCCGGGUCGGCCGUGCGGACUGGCGUGCUCGAGCACUGUAGGGGCGGGUGGAAUUCCGGGUGUAGCGGUGGAAUGCGUAGAGAUCCGAUAGAAGACCGGUGGCGAAGGCGGCCCCCUGGGCAGUAACUGACACUGAGGCGCGACAGCGUGGGGAGCAAACAGG
rnacentral:rRNA from 1 species